CUCCCAGCCGGGCGGUUCUGCCCGCCAAGCCGCGCUGCCGUCAAUCAUUCAUGCCGUGGCUGUGGCUGCGCGCACGACUCGCGCGGACGGGACGCCCCGUGUUGGCAUUCGCCGAGGGGCGACAGCGGCACCGCUCCGCUCCGGGCUCCGCAGCCGUGCUUUGCUCCCAUCAGGGCGGUCAGCAGAGAGCUGUGCCGCACGCUCCGUAGGAAGCAGAAGCGUAAUUAAUGCUUGCGGAGCACAAACGUGCCGCUACGCGCUCCUCGUUCUGUAAAGACCUCAAUGCUUUUCUAACAAAGCGUUAUUUAGCCAAGAACGGCAAACGUUGCUGCAGAAAACAGCAGCUGGAUUUUGUGGAGAGGUAACGGACUUCAAUUAGUGUGACUCGCAGGUGAACUGAACUCCCGUAACGAAAUUCCCCUCAGCCACGUGAACUCCUCGUCGUUCCGUCAGUGUCACUGCGACGGGCAAAGCGCCCUCUGCCCCCGUUCCAAAUGCAGUAAGAAAUCCGGGCUCCGGCUUCGCUUCGUAUUUGACAAACUAAUUUAAUCAGACCCGUUACGGACACGUGCGGUUCUGCGGGGAAUCGGCUCAGUCCGAGCGCCGGCCCCGGCCGCUCCUCCGCUCGGAUUCUCCGGUUUCGAUCUGAGGACCCCGGGGCCGCCCCGCGCUUCGAGCCCACGGGCGGAGACGUUCCGGAAAGCAGACAGCAGCGCACAGCGGUCCGGGUGCGACCCCUCUCGCUCUGCGUGCCGAGACCGCCCCGAAUUAACGUUUCCCGUUCUCCGUCCCUCUUCCCCAGGGCAGCACGGAGCGCUGCGGAGCAUCUCUGUGCCCUCGUGAGAGCCGGCGGUGCAACGAACGGCAGUCGUUCGUACGGCCGGAUCGUUUUCCUGGCGACUCCCACCUCGCGCCCGUCUUUCCCCGCGCAGCGCGUUUGUCCGCACGGCAGCGGCGCAGCUCUGACUUUACGCAACAGUGCUGCGGAACCCGCGAGGCCGAACGUCUGCGAGAGCCGCCCCUGCCGCCGCCCGCCGAGCGCCCCGACCACCCGCAGCACUCCGGGCCGAUCCGACCCGGCCGCCGCGGCGCUGCUGGCGGUUCCCUUCGUCCCGUCUCUGUGGCUCCGCGCUGCCGCCGUCCCCUAAAAAGCACGACCACAGGAGCCCCCUCCGGCGCAGACCCACCAAGGCACGGACGGGGUUCGAACCCGUGAUCUUCGGUUUACGAGACCGACGCCUUACCACUUGGCCACCGCGCCUGCGUUAACGGCUCGGCCCGAGGCCGUUCUGUCGCUGGCGCCACUCCCGCUGCUCCGCGGCCCUCGCGGUGCGCGCGCGUC
ensembl:lncRNA